CCCUACGGCCGCAGUGGCUCAAGACCACGGCCAUGUCGUCCGCCACCGCGCCGCGCCGGCACCCUCCGCAUCUCCCCCCUCCCGUCUCCACACAAGCUCUCCUUUCCCCCGACCAUAGCCAUGGCACAGCCGCCGCCAAUGGCUGCCCGAGCCUGUCACCACCGCCGUCAAUGGGUGUCUCGCACAUUUGGACUAAAGGCGCAAAUUUCUCAGUUUCCUCGAAUUUCUCAAGAUAGGGGAUUCAAUGAUUGCUUGAUUCUGGAGGGAAAUUAGGGUUGAUAAGAUAGUGAGGAAAGGGAAAAAAAAGAUGGGUUAUUUCAAGCAGGCGCUAAGAAGCAUCGAUGCGUCGCACUCCAGCCCUCACUGCCUCGCCCCGACCUGUCCCCUUCAAUAAGUCGGCGCCGCCGCCCCUCAGUCCGCCGCUAUCCCCAGCAGAUACGUCAGCCACGGAAAUCGUUUCCAGUUUUCAGUGAAUCCAUCUGCCCUGGCUUGCAAUGACUCUGAGCGACGUGGUACGGUAUUUUGAAAAUAGUUGUUGCUCGCUGCCUAUGGCUCAUGACCAACUAUUGUUGAGAAAAAUAAAUUGAUAACUCAGCUGGGUUGGUUCUUUGGAGUUCGUAUAUGAUUUCAGUUCUUGGUGAAAUGAAGUAUGGGAUGAAAAUGCAAGUCUCUCAUUCUGUACAAACUUUUUCCAUAUUCUUAUUAAUUUAUUAUGGGUGCAUGCCCUAUUAAAUUGGAUUUCAAUAUUUUCUUCAUGUAUAAUUCUGUUGCCUGUAUUUCAGUUUAGAGUUUCCAUCGCAUAAGCUGUUAUAAGACGUGCUUUUCCUUAAACAGCUAUGAGUUACAGGAAGAUCAUUCCUUAUUAGGGGAAGAUGAAUUCGAGUAUGACCCUGAUCUGGUCAAGGUUCAAAUUAAGUCAUGUCUCGAGUUUUGGCUGGGCAAUAGAGAAGCCAGUUACCCUCCUAUGGAGGAGCUCUGGAAAUGCAAGUUCUGCAAGUUUGCCUCUGUAUGUCCAAUUAACUUAGACCCAGAUGAUUCUCCAAGCAAAACGAAAAGUGAAGACAUUCCUUCGCCUGAUCCGACUCCUAAGUAAGCCAUUCUUCAUACUCGGCUUCUC